rnacentral:rRNA from 1 species
CAGUAGCCGCGGUAAAACAGAGGGUGCGGGCGUUAAUCGGAUUUACUGGGCGUAAAGGGCGCGUAGGCGGUUUAGUGGGUGUGAUGUGAAAGCCCCGGGCUUAACCUGGGAAGUGCAUCGCAAACGACUAAACUGGAGUAUAAGAGAGGGUGGCGGAAUUUCCGGUGUAGCGGUGAGAUGCGUAGAGAUCGGAAGGAACACCAGUGGCGAAGGCGGCUACCUGGCCUAAUACUGACACUGAGGCACGAAAGCGUGGGGAGCAAACAGGAUUAGAUACCCGCGUAGUCCCUGUCUCUUAUAC